CGUGACCUCCCGGCUGUGUUAGUGGUGUCGGUGCCCUUUGGAGGAUUUUCCAUGCACAUAUCGGAUAAAUAACAUGAACUUCUGUGCGUUUAACUGACUAACAGGACGUGAGGAAGUUUGUGUUCCUGUUUUUUGAGCUUGUGGUGAGGAAGUUUAUACUAUACGGAGUGAAAGGCAUCAGACCAAAUGACCCCUUGAGGCAAGAUGAAGGGAGAAGCAGCCUUCCUUCCAGACUUCUCUAUCUCCUAAAAGGAUGAAGUGUGGUGACAACAGAUUGCAUUAACCUGCUUGGAGCACCAAAUGUGUCACACAUCUGGGCAGAUCACAUAAUUCGAGGACAAGGUGUGUUGCUGGUUCUGGAGAAGGAUGAAAUGGCGUGCAGACAGGAGAUGGUCUCCUCUGUUUUAGGAAGCCUCAACAGCUGUGGAAGAAGAUGAGAGCAGCUGGCCAGGUCUCAUAAAAAAUAAAAAAUAAAAAAAAAAGUCAGAAUCUCACUUUCCAUCCUGUACAGUAGCUAAUGCUAGAGUCAUGUUAUCAUACAAGUGUGCAGGUUUAUAGGCAUAUUUUGGAUAGAUUAGCUUGCAUGCAGCUUGUAGCUUAUGAUAUUGUUUUGCCAACUGGGAAAAGUCUCAAU